GGAACCAUUUGGGUUGGAUGGUGGGGGGGGGAGGGAGAGGAAGGAGAAGGAAUACCCGGGCUUUGCUGGAGAGAAAUCCGAAGGACCGAGGAGAAGAAGCCAAAGGGAAGAAACUGUGCAUCAUUACACAAAAUGCAGUGUUCCCAUCACUGUGAGCAUCUCCUGGAAAGUCUGAACAGGCAGCGUGAAGUGGGCUUCCUUUGUGACUGCACCAUCAUUAUUGGUGAAUUCCAGUUCAAAGCUCAUCGAAAUGUUCUUGCAUCUUUUAGCGAGUACUUUUGGGCUAUUUACAGGGAUACUUCAGAGAGUAAUAUAUUUCUGGAUCAGAAUCAAGUGAAGGCUGAUGGAUUUCAGAAACUUUUGGAAUUCAUAUACACAGGAGAUUUAAACCUUGAUAGUUGGAAUGUUAAAGAAAUUCACCAGGCUGCCGACUAUCUUAAAGUGGAGGAAGUAGUCACUAAAUGUAAAAUUAAAAUGGAAGAUUUUGCUUUUAUUGCUAAUCCUUCUUCUACAGAAAUUUCUAGUAUCACUGGGAAUAUUGCAUUGAACCAACAGACUUGUCUGCUAACACUUCGUGACUACAAUAACCAGGAGAAAUCAGAUGCCCCUUCAGUGGAUAUAGCUCCAUCUCCAGUCUUAACAGCAGCCCUGGAAAAAAAAUCUGUCCAACCCAAAAAACGGAAAAAGGCCUUCAGUUCCCCCAAACACCCACCAAGCAAGCCAGUACAAUAUACAGGUGAUGUUGCAGAAAACUCUGCCAUGGAGAUGUUUUUAGACGCAAAUAAAUUGGCCACCGAGAUAACAGAACAAGCUGCCCAAGGUGGCGAUAAUUCUGAACUGCAACUUACCCCUGUGGUGGAGAGUGAAACUUUUGCCGCUCAAGAAAUCCUUGUGCAGACUAUGGCUGUGAAGCCAAAACAAGGCAAACCACAUCAAAAUUGUGCUUUGAAAGAGCACUGCUUAUCUAACAUUACCAGUGACAAGAACUCCUAUCAGUUGGAGAGCUCGGGAGAAGACCUGGAUCAGAAAUACCCCAAGGCCAAGCCAGUGUGUAAUACAUGUGGGAAGGUAUUUUCGGAAUCUAGUAGCCUGAGGCGGCACAUGCGGAUUCACAAGGGAGUCAAACCGUACGUGUGCCAGCUCUGCGGCAAGGCGUUUACCCAGUGCAACCAGCUGAAAACGCAUGUAAGAACUCACACAGGUGAAAAGCCAUACAAAUGUGAUCUCUGUGACAAAGGUUUUGUUCAGAAAUGCCAGCUUGUUUUCCAUAGCCGAAUGCAUCACGGAGAAGAGAAACCAUACAAGUGUGACGCCUGCAAUCUGCAAUUUGCAACUUCGAGUAAUCUAAAAAUUCACGCCAGGAAACACAGUGGAGAGAAGCCAUAUGUCUGUGAUCGAUGUGGGCAGCGAUUUGCACAAGCAAGCACGUUGACUUACCAUGUGCGACGGCACACGGGAGAAAAGCCUUAUGUCUGUGACACCUGUGGGAAAACGUUUGCCGUUUCAAGUUCACUCAUCACUCACUCAAGAAAGCAUACAGGAGAGAAACCUUAUAUAUGUGGCAUCUGUGGCAAAAGCUUCAUUUCUUCAGGAGAACUUAACAAACAUUUCCGGUCUCAUACAGGUGAAAGACCAUUUAUCUGUGAGCUGUGUGGAAACUCCUAUACAGAUAUCAAGAACCUAAAGAAACACAAAUUGAAAGUUCAUUCGGAUUCCGAGAACCCAUUGGAUUCCAUUGCACUUGAUCCUUCUUCCUUCAGCGAGCAAGAUUCAAUCCCAAGUGAGAAAAGCCUUUUGCUGGAAUCUGCUGACGUGAAGCCUUCAGACAUAUUGCCUCUACCCAUUGGAACAGAGGACCAUCAGGUAUUGCUGCCUGUCACGGAUGGUCAGUCUUCCCCAUCCGACACACUUCUGAGAUCUUCCAUCACGGGAUAUUCAGAACCUCAGUUUAUUUUCCUCCAACAAUUGUACUGACAAUUGUUGAGUGACGAAAACUCUAUAAAUCCAAACAUCUCUGAUCAAAAGGAGCUGUGGGUGAGCUAGAUUUCAUCUCAGUUUCCACUAUGGACUUUUGGGUGAUGGCAUCUUUGCUUUGAAUUCAGCUUUCCUUUAAUAUUUUGUUACUCUAGAACAAGAUUGUGUAUUUUCACCUGAAAGAAUCAAGAUUGCUUUUUCUAGGAGAUAAAAAAUAUCUUUUGUUUUUCUUCAACAUCUGCCUUAAGAAUCCUAAACUAUUUAACACGGAGAAGAUCCUUUAGUGUUCGUGCAGAAACUAAGUCAAGACCUUGGGAAAUACAAGCCAAGAAUAUUGAAAGAGAUAGAGAAAUGUUUGAGUAGGAUUCCAUUCUUUUACAAAUUUAUCCAAUGCAAAAAAAAGCAAAUUCUUUGUGCAUAAGAAGAAAUACAAUUAUUAAAUGCACAGCAGUUUUAGCAGUAAUGCAACCUGUACCUUCUCCCUAACAACUAUACCAAAUUCAAAUUCUGAUUCAGGUAAGAUUUGUAGUAUCAACUCAGAUAGGCUUACACAGGUGUAUGGUAUUUAUUUGCAAAACUGAAUAUAAUCCAGUAACUAGGAAACCAGAUUUAGACAGAAUAAACUGUAUUCCUUACGUUGCAUAAUGUAAAAGGAACCAAUGUAUUGUAUAUUUUGACCUCCAGUUCCUGAGGACAUCUUUACAAGGGGUGCUGUGUGGUAACAGAGCUGUGUCCCAAUUAUUGAAUCUGGGAGUUUGUAGAACUGUAUGUGAAGGACGAACAUUCCCAUUGGAUGUGAUUGUGCAGACAUUUUGGCCUGAGUAGGAACAAGAAAAAGAACAGAGUUUAAAAGGACUCUCCAUACAUUUUUUAGCACCAGAGACCUAGAGACUCAAUAAGUCUGAUUUUUAGGAACUAUGUUCCUAGCUUGAUGUGCUGCUUGGUAAAUCCAGCCUGAAUAAUAAUCUGUUUCUGAAUUGUCAAAAACUAAAAAGAGAAGGAUUUUGCCCUUAUUAACAGCAGCCAAAUUGCUGUCCUAACAAACUUCAGCCCCAAACCAAGUGGCUUUGGUAUCUAUUUCCUUCCCACACUACUCAAGGACAUAUAAUUAGCACUGUUAGCCUACAUUUAGGAGUUAUAGUUUAGGGAAGAGGGAAAGGAGGGUUAGCUCAGUGAAGCUUGCCAACCACUUUUUACUUUUGUGAAGAUGGAGAGGAUCUGAUUGUUUCUGAUAGAUAUUUUCCUGAUACAUUCAAAGACUUUUUGGUAUAAUCUUGCUUAGUGCUGGUGAUACUAAGCUUCUGUUGGCACAAAAAAAAUCUAAAACGUGUAUGAAGAUAGGUUUUGGAUAGAUUUCUUUAUAAUAUCAUAAACUACCUUCUGGAGAAAACAGUUUAAUAUAGGUAUUUCAGAUGAAGACGAUUUAGGUGACUCUUGAAUACUGUUUCAGAAUUUCCAAAAAUCUUGUCCCUGGAGUUUUUUAUUGGACUAUUUAAUAUUUAUAUAUUUUUUUCCUUUCUAAGGUUUGCGGUUUGUACACAAAGCAAUUUUUUUAAAGGCCAUUUUUAUCUUAUACACUACUUUAGGCUCUGGAAGAGCUGAAAAUUAUUGGAGCAAUAACUGAAUAUACAACCUUUUUUUCCUCAAAAGUCCACUGUGAUGCUUGGAAAACUUGGGCUGUUGAGCGAUAAUGUAUCUUUUUCACAAACCAUGGUUUCUGCUGGUAUUAAAGUACUAGGUGCGAGAAUUUACUGGGAACUGUAGGGAUUGUAUCACAAAGAGGGGUGUGCUAUAUUUUGUGUAUAAAGCUUGGGGGAGAUGGAAGGAAGAACCAACUGCAUUUUGGACUUAAAUUAACUUUCUGGUUGAUGACCAGUUAUUUGCUGUGAUUCACCAGCCAUUAAACAGAGGUUUUAAAUGAUGUGGAACGCUGCCUUCAUGAAGAAAGGGGAUGUCCUUCACCUGUAUGUUGAGCUCUUGGUGAGAAUGUUAUUAUUUUUGCCACAUGAGAGUUGCAUGAUUGUGGGCAUUCUGAUGAGUUUUGUGACUUACCGCCCCCCUCCAGUUUAAAUUAUUUCUGAAAUAUUUUUUCUCAUGUAUUUGCAAAUCUUUUUUUGUUCAUGGGUAAAUGUGUGUGUAGCUGUCUUCCAGUUUUUUGUACAUCCCUCUGAGGGUACCUGUGCAUAGAUUGCAAUAUUUUAAUGUUAGAUUUGAAUAAACUGGUUUUGUAACA